rnacentral:rRNA from 1 species
AUUGAACGCUGGCGGCAGGCUUAACACAUGCAAGUCGAGCGGGGGAAGGUAGCUUGCUACCGGACCUAGCGGCGGACGGGUGAGUAAUGCUUAGGAAUCUGCCUAUUAGUGGGGGACAACAUCUCGAAAGGGAUGCUAAUACCGCAUACGUCCUACGGGAGAAAGCAGGGGAUCUUCGGACCUUGCGCUAAUAGAUGAGCCUAAGUCGGAUUAGCUAGUUGGUGGGGUAAAGGCCUACCAAGGCGAUGAUCUGUAGCGGGUCUGAGAGGAUGAUCCGCCACACUGGGACUGAGACACGGCCCAGACUCCUACGGGAGGCAGCAGUGGGGAAUAUUGGACAAUGGGGGGAACCCUGAUCCAGCCAUGCCGCGUGUGUGAAGAAGGCCUUAUGGUUGUAAAGCACUUUAAGCGAGGAGGAGGCUACUUUAGUUAAUACCUAGAGAUAGUGGACGUUACUCGCAGAAUAAGCACCGGCUAACUCUGUGCCAGCAGCCGCGGUAAUACAGAGGGUGCGAGCGUUAAUCGGAUUUACUGGGCGUAAAGCGUGCGUAGGCGGCUUAUUAAGUCGGAUGUGAAAUCCCCGAGCUUAACUUGGGAAUUGCAUUCGAUACUGGUGAGCUAGAGUAUGGGAGAGGAUGGUAGAAUUCCAGGUGUAGCGGUGAAAUGCGUAGAGAUCUGGAGGAAUACCGAUGGCGAAAGCAGCCAUCUGGCCUAAUACUGACGCUGAGUACGAAAGCAUGGGGAGCAA